rnacentral:rRNA from 1 species
UACGUAGGGUGCAGGCGUUAAUCGGAAUUACUGGGCGUAAAGCGUGCGCAGGCGGCUCCUUAAGUCAGAUGUGAAAGCCCCGGGCUUAACCUGGGAACUGCGUUUGAAACUGGGGAGCUAGAGUGUAGAAGAGGGGGGUGGAAUUCCAGGUGUAGUGGUGAAAUGCGUAGAUAUCGGGAGGAACACCAGUGGCGAAGGCGACUACCUGGCCUGUUCUUGACGCUGAGGCGCGAAAGCUAGGGGAGCAAACGGG